UUAUGGCCAUAUCACAUUGAAAUGCCGAUUCUUGUAUGAUCACCAAAGUUAAGCAACAUUAAGCCUGUUCAGUACCUAGAUGGGUGACCACUUGGGAAUACUAGGUGCUGUAAG
rnacentral:rRNA from 1 species